rnacentral:misc_RNA from 1 species
AACGCACAUUGCGCCCUCUGGUAUUCCGGGGGGCAUGCCUGUUCGAGCGUCAUUAUAACCACUCAAGCUCUCGCUUGGUAUUGGGGUUCGCGGUUUCGCGGCCCCUAAAAUCAGUGGCGGUGCCUGUCGGCUCUACGCGUAGUAAUACUCCUCGCGAUUGAGUCCGGUAGGUUUACUUGCCAGCAACCCCUAAUUUUUUUUAAGGUUGACCUCGGAUCAGGUAGGGAUACCCGCUGAACUUAA